UAUGUGAUCGUCUCUCGCAUAUCAAUAAGCGGAGGAAAAGAAACUAACAAGGAUUCCCCUAGUAACGGCGAGUGAAGCGGGAAGAGCUCAAAUUUGAAAUCUUAAAGGGUUUCCCUUUACGAAUUGUAGUUUAAAGAAGUGUUUUCUGUUGAGGUUUUGGUAAAAGUUCUUUGGAAUAGGACAUCAUAGUAGGGUGAGAAUCCCGUAUUUGACCUUUACUUUCAACUUUGUGAUACACUUUCAAAGAGUCGGAUUGUUUGGGAAUGCAGUCCAAAAUGGGUGGUAAAUUUCAUCUAAAGCUAAGUAUUGGCGAGAGACCGAUAGCGAACAAGUACCGUGAGGGAAAGAUGAAAAGAACUUUGAAAAGAGAGUUAAACAGUACGUGAAAUUGUCAAAAGGGAAGCGUUUGACACCAGUGUUGUUUUUCUGAAAAUCAAUUAAAGAACUGUUUAUGCUAAGUUGUUUAGACUUUAUCAGCUAACUGUUUAGUUUUGAGCUUUUCUUUAAUGCACUUUUCAGUUAACAAGUCAACAUCAAUUUCUUUUGCUGUAAAAAAGCUUGAGGAAGGUGGCUUGAGAUUCGUCUUAAGUGUUUAUAGCCUCUUGCCUAUGCAGUCGGAGAGAUUGAGGUCUGCAGCGUAGAUCCUUCGGGGCUAAAUGCAUUUGUGCUAAGUUAUAGCAUUUUAUAGACAACUUGUUGACUAUGAUUUGUCUUGUAGCUUACUCGCUUAUGUUAUUUUACCUACGCUUAGGAUGUUGAGUCGUAGAGCACGCAG
rnacentral:rRNA from 1 species